rnacentral:tRNA from 1 species
CACUAAGAAGCUAAACCGGGACUAGCAUUAGCCUUUUAAGCUAAAUAUUGGUGAUUCCCUACCACCCUUAGUGA